rnacentral:rRNA from 1 species
GACCUGCCCGGUGACUUUAGAGUUAAACGGCUGCAGUACUCUGACUGUGCAAAGGUAGCAUAAUCAUUUGCCUAUUAAUUUUAGGCUAGAAUCAACGGUUAGACGAAGGAUAAGCUGUCUCUUUAUAAAUAAGCUGAAUUUAACUUUAGAGUGAAGAGGCUCUAAUAAAAGAGUGGGACGAGAAGACCCUAUUGAGCUUUAGUUUAAUUAAAAAAUUUUUAUUUUAUGCGAACUUGGGUUGGGGCAAUUCUUUUUAUUUUAAAACAAAGGUGAUUCAUAAUGAGUUAAUUCUAUUUAGACCCCAAAGUUUUGGAAGUAAGAAAAAGUUACCAUAGGGAUAACAGCGUUAUUUUUCUUGAGAGUACUUAUUGACAGAAAAGUUUGCGACCUCGAUGUUGGAUUAAGGUAUCCAGGAGGUGCAGCAGCUUACAUGGGUUGGUUUGUUCAACCAUUAAAACCUU